UCUCUGGGCAUAAAACCCAGCGGCUUCUGUGUACCCAUCGUUAUUCCAAGAGGGGCCAAGACUGGGAUCAUACCUUGAACGGCUGUGUCCCUUCCGCCCCCUCGUCCGUUUAACCGGUGUUUCCUGGCUACGCUCUCUACACCUCUACACCUCCAAAUUCGCUCUCCUGCUUUCUGGCCAACCUUCCACUCAUCCUUUCAAUUCCUUCUUCCCUUCAUCUCAAGACUUCAAAUUCGUCUCUCAAGGUUUUUUUUUUAUAUCGAAGCGAAACAAACAAACUACAAAACGGGAUACUGGAAUACCGAGAUCAAGGCAUAACAUCAGCGACCUCUGCAGCACCUGCUCCUGACUCGGCCUCCUUUCCGGGUGAAGCUGCCCCAGAAGUCGGAGCUCGUCGAUUCGACAGUGUCCUGAGCCCAUAUCAGCGGUGGGGUCUGCCUUACUUAGUACGCCCCCUUAGCGGGCAGCGGUGUGGGUUGAUCAAUUUGCCUACCUGUGAGUGCUCGUGCUGGGUUCUCCUGGAGGCCUCUGAGGCCGGAGAAGGAUGAGGACACUUCAUCUGACUCUCCGCCCUUGACAAUUUAUUCAUCUUGACGCCAUUCUGCGGAAUGCUCGUCGGAUCGUCCAACCCCUCUCCUCCCCUCCCCUAGUGUUACGUAAACCCCCUAUGGACAGCAUUAUUUAACUGUUUAAAAUGUCUGAUGUUUCCCACAUCUUACAAGUAUCUACACGCCACGAUGAAGGCUUCAUUACAAACAUUCAUUAUUUCAGUUAUUGUAUCUGAUACUCAUAUAUGUUAGUGUAAAAAAUAUUUUCCUAUCUAGUGCCUUCGACUAUCGAUGAAAUGGAUACCAUCGUCAUUGGUCGAGUGCGAAUUUCUACAUUCCACUUUUUCUGCCCAAUACUACUUUAUGCAAGUUAGCCAGGGGAAUGAAGGUAGUGGGUGCAUGAGUCUUGCAGGUGUAUAUGAAUUUCUAGUUCCUGGAGCAGUCUCAUUUGGGGACAUCUUCUGUUUGUAUAAUUAAGUUUUUGUUACAAUAUAUCAAUUGUUUAAGUUGUAUCUUGUUUCGUUAUUCAUCUCUUAGUGUACUAUCUCAUUGCCAGAGUUCUGUGUCUUGUCUUAAAUUUUUGUCUCUUGCUAGCAACUGAUUUACCAAGAGCUGUUGAAUAUAAAUAAUUUGUUUCGGUUUCGGGAUAAAAUCCUGAAAUUCUUAACAACACCAGUUCCGUUAUUAUGCUUUGUUUCCUUAUUCAGUAGUGGCUACCUAUUUCUGUUUCAGAUAAAAUCCUUCUCUCAAGUUUCUUCAUUACCUAUAUAUCCCACUUCAAAAACCAUGACUUCAUUCGCUGAUACAUCCAUGCCCACUUCAUCUACUGCUAUGUCAGUCAAAUGAUCCUUCUUUAUAUGUCUUAUGACCUCACAAAAAUGUUUGGCUCUCCGUUAUCUAUCAACGGAUGUCAUCAGUGAUCCUUCCUUCAUUCUGAAAGGUAUUUUCCUCUUUCUUUUCCCCCAUUGACAUUUCACUGGUUUCUGAUUGCAUGGUAUUGCCAGCAUUAUUAGCCUUGUUUUCUCAAGGUCUCACCUACCUCUUCUUGCUCUUCGUUCAACUUCACUAUCUUGGGUUGAGUGUCAACUAGUUCUACUUAGCGUUAUUCAACUCCUCAUGAAAUGUUCCUACAUGUCAAUGUUGCUUCUUUGAUGUUCUUUAUUGACACAAAGAUUUAUAUCGAUUUCCAGGGUUUCUGUCCGGUUACCUAGUGUCCCAACAGACCUGACAUACUACAGCCAAUGCAGCAAAAACAAAAAGAUAGAUCAUUAUCAGUACAGCGAAUACUGGAAUAAAAUACGCAUCUAAUUAUUGGAAUCGCUAAAACAAAAUCUGUUUGCUUAAAUUCCAGGUCGCAUUGAACAUCACAAUUCUGUGACCCAAGUUAUUCUCAUAAUAUUUCCCCCGUCACGCAGAACCUCGGAAAAGCAAACAAGGAAAACCAGUCAUUACUUAUAUGGCAAAUAUGAAAUUUUUAGUUUUAUAAAUAAUAAAACCUGUGACUCCCUUUGCAAUAAAAGCUAUUCUAAGUCGAAAUUAAUGAGCUGGGUUAUGUGAUGGAUUCAUGCAUAAGAAAAUUAUUUAUUCGAUGGAAUGAUUUGAAACCUUAAAAUAACUUGGAAUAAUUACCUUUAUGCCUGAACAAGACUAUGUUGAGCUUGUGAAUGCAGUCCUAAUUAUUCUCCGACGAUUGAUGCAUACUACAUUUUGUUUUUGUUUGCCCAGUUAAAAAACUAUUUUUAUUUUCUAUUCAGCAGCAGCUUUGAGAACACUUACUAUUCAUGGAGAGGGUACAAUCACAACGAUGCAAGACUGCUGUAUAGUACUAUUGACCUCAAAGUUUUGUCGCCGAGAAUAUGUUAUAAUUGUUAAAAACUAAAGCCCUUUACUUCUGUAAUGUGGGCCUGAUGCUGUCAGAGAAGUAACAGAGCUUCGCUAAUUUCUGUUGAUGUAUGAUAGCUUUUGCAAACAUCUCAGAACCCAGUGUUUUCUUAAUAUCUAUCUAUAGAAUAUUCUGUAUGAUUAUUUACAGAAGCAAUCUUUAACAUUUGAUUUUUUGGUCAUUAAAAUCGCUUAAAUGAUUUUAUAAAUGGUUGUACCACAGGUGAUUAGUAGUGACCCCAAAAACAAUCCUCCCUGUCAGGGUCAGCAUCAGUGAUCUCUGGGACACUACAGGGAUAAGCAGCCUCAACUGCACGAACAUAUUUCAACGCGUCUUCUGUUACUUCAGCCGAAUGGGAAAUGUUCCAGAUAAUUUACUCUGGAUAGUCACAAGGGCGUCUGGACAAUUAGGUACCGGACUAUUUGGCACCGGACAAUUCGGUACCAGUCAAUUCAGUAACGGAAAUCUUUCCAGUGUAUUUGGGGUAUGAAACAACUAUUCUAAGUCAAGUGGUGGUGACCCAUUCAUUUGGUUAUUUCCGGCUCACUGUUAAGUAUAGCAUUGUUACUCUUGUCAGUUAUUUAUUUUAACCGAGAGAUUUUAAGUGUCAGUUAUCAGCCAUGAGGUAUAGAAUGGCCACUUGCAAGAUUGUAAAUUCGGAAAAAGAUUAUUUAUUGUAGAUAUUUUCUGUUAUUUAAUAUUAGUAAAGCAAACUAUAUAUUCAUUUAUUAAGUUCUCCGAUGAGAGCUGAAAGUUUCAAUUCUCUUCCUCAUAUUUCAAAAACCUAAUGAAUUUUGGAUAAAGCCUCUAAAAAUUAAUUGUUUUUAUCUCCACAAGACAGAAUUACUGAGGGAAUUUCAAGCCUCGUCAUCUUCCAUGAAAUGACGAAUGUGUUUUUCAGAUGGAAAAUCAAUUGUCAUAUCCUCAAUUUAUAAAGAAAGCUAGCAUUAACACAGAGAGAGAGAGAGAGAGAGAGAGAGAGAGAGAGAGAGAGAGAGAGAGAGAGAGAGAGAGAGAGAGAGAGAGAGAGAGAGAGAGAGAAUUAUUUACAAAGCGAGAAGGAAACUACAUUUCCACUCCGAUAAACAAUUCGCAUUUCAGUAAAAAGAACCAUUUUAAAAUGAUUCGUCAGCAAAACAAAUCGUUCUUUUACCCACAACUCAAAACCCAAAAAUGGCUUCCAUACAAUUACUAUGAAUAUCAAAAUUUCUAAAUUAACUUCUUAACUGCAGGUGACGUACCUUCAUAAGUGGGCACCUCACAAUCAUUCAGAAAAUGGACACAGCCAAAGAUAAUGUUAAUUCAUUAACGUCCUUCAGACGAAAUCCAAGACUGACAAAAUAAUCAAAUAAAAAACACCAUUUUGGUAGAUGGUAAUAGCUAGCAAAGAGAUGGCAAGCAUUAAACUGAGAAAAUUUAAAGAUUACUGAAAUAUAUAAAUUUUUAUUUGAUACCCAUUAUAUAUAGAAUUCCGUAGCCCACUGGCAUCUGAGAAAUGGAUUAGAAAAAGGCCGAGUGGUUGAAAUUGCUGUAUAGGGUGAAAGAAAAGAUCUCUUGGGAAAAAGUGCGCGAGAACGGAGUCCUUUUUUAUUUGGUCCCCUUACCAUCAAAAUUCGGCCAUAAUCCUAACAGCUUCUGACUUCCGCAUUAGGAUGAUUUCAGUAUCCUACAGAUUUGGUCUAUUCAGAGGAUUAUGGUUUACCGGUAGGCGGAGCUAAAAGCAAGCACUGAGAAGUAUCCCUAAUAACAGGAUACAAAAUCCGAGAAGGAAUAUUGAAACAAAACAAUAAAGGAAAUGAGAAAUCAUUUCUAUAUCAUCCUCAUUUUUUUAAACUGUUACUAUCUUCCUUCCUUUUAUCGCUUAUUUCCAAAACUAUUUCUUCUUCACAGUUCCUAAAAUAUAAAUGGAAUAAUAAGAUAAAGAAAAUGAGGUGGAUUUAACAAAUCAAAAGGACAUUCCCCGAACGCUGGGAUACUCUCAGGAAUUAUGAAGAAGAAGAAGAAGAAGAGGAAGCCUUACCUACUCUUCAUAACAUCAAUCAGCGCGGAAAGUGAAUGAGAACAGUUUUUCUCCAUCAAGCGAACAUCCGCCAUUAUUCUCUGUCCAAAAACGCCGAGUGCCCAACGACAUUCAUAGGAGCCAGAGGAGUGAUUUAGGAUUGAUUCGUUUUCCUAAGAGGCUUCUCCCUGUUUAAAGAGAAAGUUGGGAUAUGGAUACUUUUCCAACAGAGAUAGGUGUUCUGGUGAUAGUCCUGAAAUGCCAGAUGUACUACUGAUGGAGACAAUGAAGUAGUAUGACAGUUCUGUAUCAAGAGCUGCAGUGGAGCUGGAGGAGUCCAAGUGUCUAAAAUUCAUAGCUGAAUGCCUACAAGAGUAAAACUUAGAACUGAAGGGUGACCGAACUGCACAGCUGUGGCUACAAUAUAUGGAGAUGGUGGAUCUUGUCCGGGAUCUAUUACGAUCUGAAAGAAGAGGAAAUUGGUUGCUUCACCUUGAUACAGUGAGGAAAAUUAUGCCAUUUCUCGCUUCUGCUGGACACAACCUAUAUGUCAAAUCCUUGAUUGUUUACCUGCAGAAAAUGGAUUGUUUGAUGAAGAAUCACCCAGAAAUCCAUAAGCGUUUCAUUGAAGAUGGCCUCCAUGUUGUCCGCAGGUCUGAUGAAUUCUGGGCUGGACACAACCUGAUCUCGUAAUCGAACAAACAUUGAUGCAUAGCAUGAAAACUACAGGUGUCCUCACCCAAGGAUGAGGAUUGAGUGAGGUUCAGCGCCUAGUGUGGGUGAUGUCAAAUCAUGUUACAUCUGAAGUCAGUUGUGCAAUGCAGCAGCUGACAAAAGUGAAUUAUGAAACCAGUGAGCAACACAAAGACCUACAACACGCGCGUCUCAAAAGGGAUGUGUCUAACUCGUUGGAGAUUCUGAGCCUACUAGAACUGAAGAGCCCAUUCUUUGGAAGUGAAGCUCUGGUUAACAUAGUUAAUGGUGUUACAGCCAAUACAUCCGUAAAUGUUGACAAUGCAAAAGAAAUAGGUCAUAAUAUUCUUAAGAAGAUGAAAGGAGAAAAGGUUAUUGGAUUUUCCUUCAAGAAGAAAUCUCAGGCAGUUCUCAUGGAUUCAAAAUCGACUCUCAAACUAAGAAAUGAGGAAACCAUUAAAAUAGAUCCUCAGUUACUCUUUCAAACGUUGGUGACUGCAGGAACACAAGCUGAACAACUACCUGAGGCUCUAGAGUAUGAACUUUGUGGAUAUCCAGCCGCACUGUUUGAAUCAACAAAUGUAAUUCUAUUCUAUCUGCAAACAAGCCACAGUUGGCUAAACGGAUGUGGAAUUUAGCGACUGCCAUGGAUGGUCCCAAGGACUAUGCAUUUGUUCUAGAUGGAGGUGCCUUGCUACAUAGAAUACUUUGGGACAUUGGCAAAACAUAUAAUACUGUUGCUCAUAACUACUCUGACUACAUUAUGGACAAGUAUGGCUCUUCUACAACGGUUGAAUUUGACGGAUACAGCAACACGCUAUCAACCAAAACUCAAGCACGCAGAAGAAGGAAUUGCUGACCUGGAAGAAAGGUGACUUGGACUGGGGGGAUGGUUCUUAAAGUGAAGAAGACAGAGUUCAUAUGAAAUUGGGUAAACAAGCAGUAAUUCAUCAACCUCCUAACUGAGAAACUACAGGCAUAUGGAGUCGAAGUUCAUAAUGCCCAAGGAGAUGCAGAUCUGUUGAUUGUCCAAACAGCUGUUCCUACAUCACAAGAGGUUCCUACUGUAGUUGCUGGGGAUGGUACAAACUUGAUAGUACUUCUUUGCUACCAUGCAAAAGAUGCAAAUUUGUACUUCAUGCCAGGACCAAAAGGAGCGUCAUCAAGUUGCCGGAAGUACUUGGAAUGGAGAAAGGUUAGGCAGGGUCUUGGAGAUAGUGCAACACGCAAUAUCCUCUUUCUUCGUGCCAUCUUGGAAUGUGACACUACGUCAAGGAUAUUUGGGAUAGGCAAAGGUGUUGCACUGACGUUGAUGGAGGAGGAUUUAAAUUUCCGAGAGCAAGCAGAGGGGUUCUGCAACUCAAUUUCUGCAAAAGACUGUUGUACAAGCCGGCAGAAAGGAUUUGCUUUGCGUCUUCAAGGGGAAUGGAAAUGAUACUUAGAAUACUCUUAAAUUACCCAAUUUUUUUACACUUGUCACACGAAGCAAGACCUCUCUUCACCCUCAGACACUCCCACCGCCAUUGACAGCUGCAAAGUUUCACAGCCUCAGAGUGUACCACCAGGUCCAAGAGUGGAAGGGCAAUUCCCUUAAUCCUGAAGAUUGGGGCUGGAAGGUUUGUGAGGGAAGACUUGUUCCAAUUCAAUCUGAAAAUGACAUUGCUCCGAAAUUUCUUCUAGAAGUUAUCAGAUGUCAGUGUAAGACUAACUGCAGCACAUUAAGAUGCAAGCGCCGUCGUCAAGGUCUCUACUGCUCCAUGCCGUGCUCACAAUGCAGGGAAACUGUUCAAAUACAUUAGGAGAAGAACAGGAUGAAAAAUCGGACACAGAUUUGAUUUUGUUUGACGCAAGUGGUGAGAGACUAUAAUAAUUGAUUGUAUCAAAAUGCUUGGUAGUUUGUGUUUAUACAAGCAGAAUAAACACUUGAUAUUCUAUAUUUUGUUUUUCAAGGUAAUUUAAAAAGACACAUAAUGCUAAAAUACAUAGGCUUCAUGCAAAAAAAAAAAAAUGUCUAGAGGAUCUUAUUUUGGUGAACUUUUUGUGGGGGUUGGAGUGGUGGUAAAUUGGUUUAGGGUAUAAGGAGUAGUGCUAUCAUAAAGUGUUCUAAAAUCCAGUUAUACAAAAAAAAAAAAAAAAAAAAAAAUUGUAAAAAUACCAUUGAAACUGCCAAAGAUAUUUAAAUCCAUGGUUUAUCCUUCGAGAUUUGGCGUCACAUUUUUGCUCCUUCUUAAAAACUAUGUUCCACCAAUUAUAUUACAUUGGAUUAUGUUGUUUCUGUUGCAUAAAGGAACCCAAAAAACCAUGUUUCAUUAAUAUUGUAAUUUCCCCUGGGUCAAACCAUAUCUUUACUGGACUAUAUCCCCUUC